AAUAAAAUUCAUGUUUACUAAAAAUUGACUAUUGAGUUUUUAAAUUGAUCGAGUAUUUUGCUUAGACAGAGAUAUUUAAUUUAUUCAAAGUCACAUAGUCUCUCAAAAUUUUGCAAUUCAUUAUUAUUCAAAAUAAUACAGGUCAACUUGGUCAGAUAGCUCCAUUCGAAAGAUAAAUGAUUGUCAGCACAUCUUACGGGGUGGUUGGAUGAUGCUUACACGUUAAAAAUACACAUAUGUAUUUAAAUUAAUAUCUUUCUGGUGAUCCAGCACAAAUUUUGUGAGUUUGAAAGGAAUUUAUUUAUGAAUUAAAAUAUGGCGGAUUCAUUUAAAUCAGAGUCUAGCGCAAAUCGACCUAUUCCAUACCUAUUUCAGGCUUUCCAGCCUUAAAAAUUGAAAAAUUUUUACCAUUCACCCCCGGACCACAGUUAAGAGGAUAGCAAUGGAAAGGGUUGAUGGAUAGUCAAGGAACAAGCACCCCUGACUCAACUGCGGAUUAAUUAAAUGCUCAUAUAUGAAAAUGUAUGACCAUGCGAAUGUACGGGACGUGGUAUACGGGCAGUACGGAAAAGGGCGUGCGGACUCCAUGAAACGAAUGAAGUACUAUGUGUGUGGGACGAGGGUCGUGUGCCAAUGGCAUUGUUUUUCAUAACUCAGUGCACUUUCGACCAGCACAAUGGCAGGAACACACUCGGACCUACCCACACAAACGUAGUCUAUUCUGAAGAGACAUAUAACCGGAGAAUCGGAGUACGGUGGAAUAUCCGUACACACUCUUAUCUGCAAUUUUGUCGGUUUCUUUAUGGAUCAGUCGAAUGCGAGUGGGGUUCCCCCCACCUUUAAUACCCUGCCACUCUGUCUAUUUUGUUUAUAAGGCAAUAAUUACUGAUAUAAGGUUCGUCAAAAUUGUCUACGGAAACAGUAGAAACCCAAAUCAUAUUCCAUUUUUUUAUUUAUUAAAAAUGAUCUGUUAUUUUGAAUUAUAA